AGAUCAUCCCUGAUUUCUAUACAUCUGAGGCACAAACAAGAUUCAGCAAACACUAAGAUAAAAAUCAUCUCUGAUUUCUAUACAUCUGAGGCACAAACAAGAUUCAGGAAACACUAAGAUAAAAAUCAUUCCUGAUUUCUACAUAUUUGAGGCACAAUCAAGAUUCAGGAAACAUUAAGAUAAAAGAAGCAAGUAAAACAUUUGACAGUCCCAGUUACAGGAUAAGGAAAGGAUGGAAAAAUAGCAGGGAAAAACCAAGAAU